UCAAAGUGAAAGUUGAAUGAUUAUCGAUUAGAAGGUUCCCCUGGGGGAACUUCCCCAAAACGGAAGUGACAAAUUACAUCCAGACCAUCCUAUACUAGACGGGUGCCAAGCCUAGCGGCACACAAUUGCGAAAUAGUUGAAAACCCCUUCCCGAGCAAUGCUACAAAAAGGAAGAGGUCAAGAUUGCAGUCGAUUGCAAACCGAAGAAAGUGAUUCGUCAUCGAGUGGCUUUGGCCAUUCCUUCCACAAUCCCGUUCAGGAUGCAUUUGCCAGAAAAAUCAGAAACCAAUUGGCAUAGUAAGCAAACCCAGUAUGAUUUGUUGGACAAGUAGCUAUCGCAAAGAUAGAAUCGGUUGUAUGAUUCGUGGCAUCUGCAGGCUGGAGGAUGGAGGCAACGAAAGAAGGCCAUUAAUAAAAACAAAUAUAUACAACACCCGGCUGACGAAAGAUCCACAAAAACAUGCGCUUCGUCGCUUCUUACCAAGCCCCUGCGCAACAAAAUUGCCCGGUUCGAGACACACCAGAAGAAGCGUAUGCGUCACCGUGUACAGGAAAAAAAUAUGGACACAGGGUUUUCUACGUGCCGAAAGUGUCCGCUGUAGAACAUGACAUCAUUGAAGUUGUUCCGAGACCAGGAAGCUUUCACAACAUUGUCAUCCAGGUCACAAAUCCUUCCGCACUUCCGCACAGAUAACCGACGCAACUAAGUUAGUGCAAAUAUCUAAAGGACCAAUGCAGUUCAACAUUUUUUGGUAUGUCAGCAAAGAAGAACUGGUCACAUACUGAGAGCAGCUACACAAAAAAAACAAUGAAUCUGCAAUGCAAAAGUGUGUAGAUACACCAAAACGGACAAAACAACAACGUCCCUUAGUUCAGGACACUAAAUUCUUCGAUUAUGAAGUAGAUUCGGAUGAAGAUUGGAAAAAGGAGGCACCGGACGAAUCGCUUCACGGCAGUGACGACACGGCAGAGGCUGACGUCAUUGAGGACAACAGUCCGGAAACCCAGAAGGCUAAUUUGAAAAUCAUGCAACAAGAAUUUGCUGCCGAAAGGAAAAAUAAAACGUAAAAAAUCAAAUCACGGCAAAUCGGUUGCUUGUGGGAGAACGGAGCCGGGGAUGAAUCAAAAUGUUCAGCUGUGAUUAGGGAGAUCCUCAAAACUCGAGCCAUGUUGUGCGAUCCAGAGGAACCCAUUUCGUUUACGGUGCAGAAAAAUGAGCAGGAAUCGAACAGUUCAUCACCGUCAAAAGAUAAGCAACAACCCGAGUGCUCUGAAUAGAAAGUUCCUAAAACAAAAAAGCAUUGGUCAAAUAUGGUUUGACAGACUUGGAAAUUCCCAUUAGAUGAGAGUUUACUUGAAAACUUUUAAUCGAAACUACAUACCUACAACAUUAAUUUUAAUGUGCAACCGACUCCUAGCUCAGCAUCAAUCGCAAAAACAUCUGUCGCUCCCGCCUCCAAAAUCACCAAAUUCACUCGAUAAAACUCCAAAGACGACAAACGGAAGCAGUUUGCACCGAAAUGCACGGAGCAGUUUGCCACCGCAUCGCCCUACACUUCAAGCUGAAAAUCUGCCGCGGCCGUCGCCUCACCAGUGGUCGCGACACUAGUGGCGUGUUCAACCGCUGAUAUCAGUGCCACUUGGCCGAACAUAAAUCAGACCACCAAGAGCAAUCUAACCAGCCAGCUUCAGACCAAAGAUGGCACCGCUAACAACACCACAAGCAACCAUAAGAGCAAUGCGAAUGUGCUGAAAUCGAUGGCGGUUGACUAUGACGCUGAACCACGGUGGACAACCGAUCAAGCCUGGCGAAAUUAUUGUUUUAUUGAUCAAUGGGUUUGAAAAUGUAUCAGUCCAGUAGAACUAAAUUGUACUAGGUAUGAAUGAACAUAUGAAUAUUCAUAUAUAAGUAGAAAUCCAUCUGAAUUGGUCUAUAGAA